rnacentral:rRNA from 1 species
UACGGGAGGCAGCAGUGGGGAAUAUUGGACAAUGGGGGAAACCCUGAUCCAGCGACGCCGCGUGAAGGAUGAAGGAUUUCGGUAUGUAAAGUUCUGUCCUAAGGGAAGAUAAUGACAGUACCUGACUAAAAAAAACCGGCUAAAUACGUGCCACCAGCCGCGGUAAUAAGGGGGAAUUCUUUUAAAC